AAUGAGUGUGCAGUCGGCCUCAGAGCUAUGAGCUGCACUUUCUACCUUGCCACUGUGUUUUCUGCAGUCCGUGAUCUGUGGAUGACAAAUGGUGUCUCUCUCUACCAGACCAUGAAGCAACGACACUUCACAAAAUAUUUCUUAUGAAUGAUGGAGAAAAAACAGAAGCUUGGACACAGGGCCUGCUUUGUAUAAAGGAAUGCUUCACUUGGUAAUUUAUUUUUCUUAAAUUUCUCCUUAAUCCUGUUUCAAUAUGCUAAUCUCCCUUGUUUCUUCAUCAGGCCUGCUUUAGAAUUGUUU
rnacentral:lncRNA from 1 species